rnacentral:snRNA from 1 species
UGCCCUUUCCUGAAUAUAUUGCUAAAAUUGGAACAAUACAAAGAGGAUUAUUAUGGCUCCUGCGCAAGGAUGACACGCAAAUUCGUGAGGCGUUCCAAAGGUUU